rnacentral:rRNA from 1 species
CAAUAGCGUAUAUUAAAGUUGUUGCGGUUAAAAAGCUCGUAGUUGGAUUUCUGUUGUGGGCAGCCGGUCCACACUAUGUGUGAGUAUCUGGUUCGACCACGGCAUCCUCCUGAGGAACGUUGGUGCGCUUCACUGCGUGGCACGGUAUUCAGGACUUUUACUUUUGAGGAAAUUAGAGUGUUCACGGCAGGCGUUUGCCUUGAAUAUAUUAGCAUGGAAUAAUGAUAUAGGCGAAUGCGUCUAUUUUGUUGGUUUCUAGGCGCAAUCGAAUGAUUAAUAGGGACAGUUGGGGGCAUUCGUAUUAUGACGUCAGAGGUGGAAUUCUUGGAUUGUCAUACGACGAACUACUGCGAAAGCAUUUGCCAAGGAUGUUUUUCAUUGAUCAAGAACGAAAGUAAGGGGAUCGAAGAUGAUUAGAUACCA